AUUGAACGCUGGCGGCAUGCCUUACACAUGCAAGUCGAACGGUAACAGGUUAAGCUGACGAGUGGCGAACGGGUGAGUAAUGCAUCGGAACGUGCCCGAUCGUGGGGGAUAACGCAGCGAAAGCUGCGCUAAUACCGCAUACGAUCUGAGGAUGAAAGCGGGGGACCGUAAGGCCUCGCGCGAUCGGAGCGGCCGAUGUCAGGUUAGGUAGUUGGUGGGGUAAAGGCUCACCAAGCCAACGAUCUGUAGCUGGUCUGAGAGGACGACCAGCCACACUGGGACUGAGACACGGCCCAGACUCCUACGGGAGGCAGCAGUGGGGAAUUUUGGACAAUGGGCGAAAGCCUGAUCCAGCAAUGCCGCGUGCAGGAAGAAGGCCUUCGGGUUGUAAACUGCUUUUGUACGGAGCGAAAAGGUCCCCUCUAAUACAGGGGGCUCAUGACGGUACCGUAUGAAUAAGCACCGGCUAACUACGUGCCAGCAGCCGCCGUAA
rnacentral:rRNA from 1 species